UACGUAGGUGACCAGCGUUGUCCGGAUUUACUGGGCGUAAAGAGCGCGCAGGCGGUCGUUCAAGUCGAGUGUGAAAGCCCCCCGGCUCAACUGGGGAGGGUCAUUCGAUACUGAUCGACUGGAAGGCAGGAGAGGGAAGCGGAAUUCCCGGUGUAGUGGUGAAAUGCGCAGAUAUCAGGAGGAACACCAGCGGCGAAGGCGCCGCUCUGGGCCGUAACUGACGCUGAGGAGCGGAAAGCAUGGG
rnacentral:rRNA from 1 species